GAUGAACGCUAGCUACAGGCUUAACACAUGCAAGUCGAGGGGAAACGAUGAGAGAGCUUGCUCUCUUAGUCGUCGACCGGCGCACGGGUGAGUAACGCGUAUCCAACCUGCCUCUGACCAAGGGAUAACCCGUCGAAAGUCGGACUAAUACCUUAUGCAGUCGUCGGAAGUCAUCUGAUGACGACGAAAGAUUUCAUCGGUGAGAGAUGGGGAUGCGUCUGAUUAGCUUGUUGGCGGGGUAACGGCCCACCAAGGCGACGAUCAGUAGGGGUUCUGAGAGGAAGGUCCCCCACAUUGGAACUGAGACCCGGUCCAAACUCCUACGGGAGGCAGCAGUGAGGAAUAUUGGUCAAUGGGCGUAAGCCUGAACCAGCCAAGUAGCGUGCAGGAUGACGGCCCUAUGGGUUGUAAACUGCUUUUAUGCGGGGAUAAAGUGAGGGACGUGUCCUUCAUUGCAGGUACCGCAUGAAUAGGGACCGGCUAAUUCCGUG
rnacentral:rRNA from 1 species